UUACGACCAUAUCACGUUGAAACACUAGUUCCCGUUUUGAGUACGAUCACCGAAGUUAAGCAACGUCGAACCUGGUUAGUAUCUAGAUGGAUGACUGCUUGGGAAUAACAGGUGUAGUAAG